rnacentral:rRNA from 1 species
AUAUCAAUAAGCGGAGGAAAAGAAACCAACAGGGAUUGCCCUAGUAACGGCGAGUGAAGCGGCAACAGCUCAAAUUUGAAAUCUGGCCCCUUCGGUCCGAGUUGUAAUUUGCUAGAGGAUGCUUUAUGGUGACGGUGCCGCUCCGAGUUCCCUGGAACGGGACGCCACAGAGGGUGAGAGCCCCGUCUGGCUGGAUCCACCGAGCCUCGUGUUAAAGCUCCUUCAACGAGUCGAGUAGUUUGGGAAUGCUGCUCUAAAAUGGGAGGUAUAUCUCUUCUAAAGCUAAAUAUUGGCCAGAGACCGAUAGCGCACAAGUAGAGUGAUCGAAAGAUGAAAAGCACCUUGAAAAGGGGGUUAAACUAGUAC